AUUGAACGCUGGCGGCAGGCCUAACACAUGCAAGUCGAGCGAGCGGCGGACGGGUGAGUAAUGUCUGGGAAACUGCCUGAUGGAGGGGGAUAACUACUGGAAACGGUAGCUAAUACCGCAUACCAUCAGAUGUGCCUAGAUGGGAUUAGCUAGUUGGUGGGGUAAUGGCUCACCAAGGCGACGAUCCCUAGCUGGUCUGAGAGGAUGACCAGCCACACUGGAACUGAGACACGGUCCAGACUCCUACGGGAGGCAGCAGUGGGGAAUAUUGCACAAUGGGCGAAAGCCUGAUGCAGCCAUGCCGCGUGUGUGAAGAAGGCCUUCGGGUUGUAAAGCACUUUAAGCGGGGAGGCGUUACCCGCAGAAGAAGCACCGGCUAACUCCGUGCCAGCAGCCGCGGUAAUAC
rnacentral:rRNA from 1 species